UGAGGAAUCUUGCGCAAUGGGGGAAACCCUGACGCAGCAACGCCGCGUGAGUGAGGAAGGUCUUCGGAUCGUAAAGCUCCGUCGGGUGGAAAGAAAUGUAUGGGGUUAAUAGCCUUCAUACUUGACGGUACCACCAAAGGAAGCACCGGCUAACUCCGUGCCAGCAGCCGCGGUAAUACGGGGGGUGCAAGCGUUGUUCGGAAUUAUUGGGCGUAAAGAGCGUGUAGGCGGCUUGGUAAGUCAGAUGUGAAAGCCCUGGGCUUAACCCAGGAAGUGCAUUUGAAACUGCCUAGCUAGAGUAGGGGAGAGGGAAGUGGAAUUCCUGGUGUAGAGGUGAAAUUCGUAGAUAUCAGGAGGAACACCGGUGGCGAAGGCGACUUCCUGGCCCUAUACUGACGCUGAGACGCGAGAGCGUGGGUAGCAAACAG
rnacentral:rRNA from 1 species